rnacentral:tRNA from 1 species
UGGCGUAGCGGGCAAAGCCUCGGCUUGCUAAGCCGAAGGUCCCGGGUUCGAUUCCCGG